GGCUGGACUUGUUCAGAGCUUUCUUUUCCACAGCACUGAAACUAGAGAGCAAGAAGAGGCUUUAGGACACAGGAGGCAGGAGUGCUGGCCCCAGGGCUCUGUGUCAUUGCCAGCUGGCAGUGCCAAGGCCACAAAGCACCUCUGAGGCCCAAAUUGCUAUUUCUGGAGACCGAAGGAAGAACUGGAAGAUUGUGCUAGCAACCCAGAAACACGAUUUCUCCAAAGCUGCAAACGUUUUAUCAUAUGAAGUGACUUGAGGCAGGGUAGGGCAAAGAGCUAACUGAUGGUGUCCUCCAUAAAGAGCUGGGAGGCAGAGGCAGAAGCAGGACCUUAGAUGCUAGCUCCGUUAGACCUCAAGUCCCAAAACCUGCUGAGGAGCAAAAGCUUUAUGAGUUUGGAAUGGGCUCAUUAGUCAGGGACUAUCUGAGGAGAGGAGAGGGAGCCAUUGGGAAGCCCAAGGCCUGAAGAACAGGCAUGACUGCUGGCUGGCAAAUAGGCACCCUGCCUCAGGGCUGGCUGCUGAAGACAAAGGGACUGUACUGUUGGACAUCUCUGGGGAACCUUCUAAGGCACUCUUGUCAUAUAGAGCCAGGUACCUGGGAACACGUGGCCCAGAAGUCCAUAGUUACUUCUCCAAAAUGCAGUGCUUAAGAAAACAGAAUAACCUUGGUGUGGCUCAUUUCCUCUACAAGCCUCUCUUGACUCUAUGUAGCUCUAAGCACAACACUCUAGCACAUUCCCAUGGAAUAUUCUAAAAGAGAAUAUAGUUGUUUCCAAAUGAUACUCACUUUAUAGAUGAGGAGUGAGCUGAAAGAUAUCAGAGACGUCUGACUCACUCACCACCAUCACAAAGCUGCUAAGAGACAUGCUGGACUGAGGGUUCCUGGCUUCAAGAUCACUGUGGUGGUUUGAAUAUGCUUAGCCCAGUGAGUGACACUAUUAUGAGGUAUGGCCUUGUUGGAGGAAAUGUGUCACUGUGGGGGUGGGCUUUGAGACCCUGCUCCUGUCUGCCUGGAAGUCAGUCUUCUGUUUGCCUUCGGAACAAGAGGUAGAACUCACAGCUCCUUCAGCACCAUGCCUGCCUGGAUGCUGCAUGCUUCCUGCCAUGAUGAUAAUGGACUGAACCUCAGAAUCUGUAAGCCAGCCCCAAUUAAAUGUUGUCCCUUAUAAGAGUUGACUUGGUCAUGGUGUCUGUUCACAGCAAUGGAACCCUAACUGAGACAGUCCCCAUGCUUUGCUUCCGUCACACCACAAUGUCACACAUUUGGGUGGCUUUCUCAGUGUCUUGCUCAUACUUGUUGGUCUCUUUUGGGCACAUGCCCCGAUUUCUUGUGAAUCUGUGGUAGGUCUCUUUCUGGUCAAAGUUCUACACAAAGCACAAACUAUGGCUCUUAUCAGAGUUAAGAUAAAAGGCAGCUGCUCCCAUUUAUUUUAUUCAUGUUUAUUUUUAAUUUAGGUGACUAGAGAGCCUGGCUCGUGCAUGGCUAGUAGGAGAUGUGAUGUGAAAGAAGAAGUUACUCACUGCUGAGUGGAAGGUAAUGAGAGUUCCAUUUCCCCUUCCCCUGUCCCUAACGUAAUCGCUGUAGGCCUCCUCAUACAUGCUCUGUACGUGUCGUAUAGCCUGAAAACAUACAAGGUCAUCGUGAAUGGGGAGUUGCAGACAUUUUUGUUUUACCAAGAAAACCCCCUCUUCUGUGUCCUUUGGCGACACUGAUUUGCUGCACACUCCUCUGUGUUUUAAGAGACUUCUGAACAUACAGAGCAAAGCAGAUUCUAGAGGUCCUGAGAUGCUUUUGAAAAAGGAAGGAUAAACUGACCAAGAAUGUUUUAUUACAUUAGAGCCACCUCUUGGUGUGGGGAUUUGUAAACCUGACAGGCUUCACUGUCAACUAGGCCCAUGUAGGAGAUCCUGGUAAGCCACUUGAGGUGGACUCUAUGACCGCAGGGUUUCCUGCCAACCCACAGGCAGGUGUCCACUGUCAAGAUGUUCUGCGUUCAGAUAUCACACAGCUUAGUGGGCGCUUUCUCUAGUGCCAAGACAUAUGACCCCUAAAUCCAUGGGCUUGAGCUCUAUGUGGAGCUAGUCUGAGUCUUGUAACCUCUGGUACAGGGGCUGUGUAAAGAAUGUUCCACAGGGUGCAGUCACUCAUCUUUCAUGUUUAUCAGUUUUACACCUCAGCUCGUACACCCAGUAUGGACAGCACACAAGUUCACUGGAAAUACAGCACUCUUAAGACUGCCCUCCCAGGUCUUCUUAUCCUUCUAAAAGCCCACGUGCCCUGUGAGCUCUCCUCAUGACCUCUUCUGGGCACUGAGUAUUGCGACUUGCAUGCAGCAGGCCAGGAUUUGGCUUUUCAUAACAGGGCAGGCCCUGUUUAGGCCAAGGAUGAGAAGGUGUGUUCUUUCUUCCUCUUCCUUGCCCCACUCUUUUGUCUGUAACCUAAUGUCUGCCUCAUUUUUAAUUAGGAGCACUCUUAAACCAGAAAUCAUAAACAAGCAAACAAGCAAACAAAGACCAGUUUAUGUGUGAACUAGAAACCAUAUAUUACUACUCAUACACACGAUGAGCUCUGGACACUGCUAGCUUCAAGGUUCUACUUACACAAUUUGGGGAACUAUUUUGUUUCUUAAUAACAACUGCCUUAACAGCCGCAAAACUUCCAGGUUUUACUUACUACAUCCUUGCCUAUAAAUGCAAACACUCCAGUGGUUACUUCAGCAGCGAAUAUCACCAGCAGACAGGUAAAAAACUGUAGAGAGAAAAUACUAACAUCAUUAACUUAAUACCUUUUCAAUUUAUUUAGCCUGGUUGCAUUCUCAGUUCUGUGAUAAAACAAACUCAGCUCUGGGAUACACAAAACAGCCUUUCAGUGUUAUUUAGAGAAAGUGAGAAUGUCUGGGAGAAGAGACACACAUUUCACACAGCCAUAGAUGAGAAGCAUCAGGUAGGCACACAAAACCCAAAGACUGAUGGGGAUGGGAAAUGAGGGGUGUUAGAACACCCUGCUUCAGUCUCCCCAUGAGAACUGCUACUGGUAAGGCCUUGGAUAAGGCUAUGCAUUUGCUAACAGUCAAGCCUUUUUCCUCUUUGUCUCCUUGAUGCAACUGCCCAGCACUUUGGUGGGGUUUGUCUGCUCCUUCACUGAACAAUUGUUUAUUGAGCAUGUGUCCUGUGCCAGGCUCUGUCCUUUGUGCUACUUACACAGUGGUAGACAAGGUCCUGACCUCUGCAAAACCAUAAAGCUUAUAUUGGGCAAAGGGGAUUCAAAUAAAGGAAUAUUAGAUAGUCACAUAGAGACCCUAUCAUAGCACAGUUCUGGCAGCAGCAUACUCAGUCAAUACUUGACCACAUAAGUUCUACAGAGAGGAAAUAUGGUUGCCAACGAGGUUUGGGCAUGGGGAAGAGUGAGAUGUGAGUAUUGUGAUCUGGAAGGUUUCUCUGAAGAGAGGUAGAGAAGAGUAGAAGUGUGUGUGUGUGUGUGUGUGUGUGUGUACAUGUGUAUGAGUGUGUGUUUGUGUGUGUGCAAGUGUGUGUUUAUGAGUGUGUGUUUGUGUGUGUAUGAGUGUGUAUAUGAGUGUGUGUUUGCGUGUGUGUGUAUGUGUGUAUGAGAGUGUGUAUGAAUUUAUGUUUGUGUGUGUGUAUGAGUAUGUGAGUGUGUAUGAGUGUGUGUUUGUGUAUGUGCAAGUGUGUGUUUAUGAGUGUGUGUUUGUGUGUGAGUAUGUAUGUGUAUAUGAGUGUGUGAGUGUGUAUGAGUGUGUAUAUGAGUGUGUGAGUGUGUAUGAGUGUGUAUUUGUGUGUGUAAGUGUGUGUAAGUGUGUGUAUGAGUGUGUGUGAGUGUGUAUAUGAAUGUGUGUUUGUAUGUGUAUGAGUGCAUGUGAGUGUGUGUGUCCUUAUGGAUACAUGUUCUGCCAGGUCUUAGGUUUGCUAACCAAACUCACCUCUGUGAUAAACAAAACAGCUUUUCAGCUUUAUUUAUAGAAAGAAAGCCUGGGAGAGGAAACACAUCAGGUAGGCACACAAAACCCAAAGACUAAUGGGGAUGGGAAUGAGGGGCGUCAGAACACCCUGCUCCAGGCUCUCUGUGAGAUGUCCAAAGCUAUCUCUCUGAUGCUCCUCAUCCCCUUGAGGGUUUGGUUCAGAACAUCGGCUGGGUAGCAGGUAACAGAGGAUGCUUUUGUUGUGUUUUCAAACAGAAACUGGGGAUUAAAGUAAGACACCAGAGGGAUGUUUGCUAAGUUAUUGAUCUUAACCAGAAAUGCUUUCCUUGCAGAUAACAAUUCUUUCCUGGCUGUGAGGAUCUUCAAGAUGCCUCAUCCACAGCGACAUACCUGGAGACUGAACCUGAAGGAAGCCAGGCAACCUGUCUGAGAACACCCAGUCAGCAAGGGGAAGAGGCUGCCUCUACUGCUGCUCAGAGCUGUUGCAGUGAAUAGCCACCACAUGCCUCCUGAGGUCCAAAUGCUUCACCCUGGACUGCGUACCUUUGUGGAGAGGAAGCACUACAACCCCCAUAAGGCCAAUGAUACUGUGUCCGGGGUAGUCAGAAGCUGGCCUCACAGUUGGGAUGUAACUCCAAGCCUUUCCUUGAGCCCCAGAAUCCCUUGUCCUCUGAACUUAGUGGCUGUCUCCACCACUGAAGGACUUGAAGCCAAGGGUGUGGGAAGCAAGAGUAGCUGCUGGGUAAUGGGAGGGGAGGGGACAGAGCUGGGAUGUGGCUAAGGACAGAGCUUAGGACCUGCUAUCAUCAGUUUUGUGUGAAUUUUUUUUCUUUCCAGGACAGUGCCACAGAUAUUGAACACACAGGAGGGCGUGUUACAAAACAAAAACCAAAAUAAACCACUCAUGAGGGUAAA